CUAUGUUGUCCGCCUGCCCCACCCCACUGACAAGAGUCCCAGUCACCAGGCCACCCUCUCUGUCUGGGGCCCUAGCUUGUCUCUUUCGAACCCAGAAUUCCAAGUUGCUGGAGCACUGGGGGACAUCCAGACAGAGCCCUCACUGGACCAGGUCCUCCAGGAGCGGGAUGAAGCCAUUGCCAAGAAGCAGGCAAUGGAGGCUGAGCUGGACUCAUGCAGAGCCAAGUUGCAAGCUGUGGAGGCCCAGCUACUGGAGGUCCUGGAGGAGAAACUGAGGCUGAGGCAGGAGGUGGAAGCCUGGGAGGAGGACAUGCAUCAAAUGGUGAGGCAGCGGGUCGAGAGUCAGCUGCAGAGAGAGUCCCAGGGCACUCUGGGUGCCCCCGUGAACCCCCAAACUGCCAGGGCCCUGCAGGUCCGAUUCCCCCUGGGUCGGUGGGGACGCUGGCGGUAACAGAGCCCAGCCCAGGAGCUUGGGAGCAAUGUCUUUAUUCAUUAAAAGCUUGAGAUCUAAACA